CCCUUAGAUGUUCUGGGCCGCACGCGCGUUACACUGAUGCAUUCAACGAGUUCUUCCUUGGCCGAGAGGCCUGGGCAAUCUUUUGAACGUGCAUCGUGAUAGGGAUAGAUUAUUGCAAUUAUUAAUCUUGAACGAGGAAUUCCUAGUAAACGCAGUUCAUCAAACUGCAUUGAUUACGUCCCUGCCCUUUGUACACACCGCCCGUCGCUACUACCGAUUGAACGUUUUAGUGAGGUAUUUGGACUGGACCUUCGGAGGUUCGCGCCUCCGUUGCUGUUCGGGAAGACUCCCAAACUUGAGCGUUUAGAGGAAGUAAAAGUCGUAACA
rnacentral:rRNA from 1 species